UGCAACACUAGGUGCCUGGUGACAAUGAACAGUUAGUUUGUCACCUGCGCGUAUUAACCGGGCACCCGGCCUUGGGUUAUUGUGCCACCUGAAUGCUCUCUUGACAACAACCUGUGUGCCCGGGGCAGCGAGCACCAGCUCCAGGUCUAGCUCGAGUUCUCCUUCCUCUCUGAAGCCUCCCCUUGACAGCCCCAAGGAAUCACGCUUCCUCAAGAACUUCCUGGAGGGGAUGUCAAUCACUUGGACACAUGUCCGCCUGGAUAGCUAUUAGUGUUCCAUGAACUUGCCCGACCUCUCGGCCCGCGGGGGUGAGGGUCCCGGUGUUACUCUUUUCUGACAUGCCCUGCCCACAACGGAUGCCCAUUCACUGUCUUGAUGAUGGCGAGGGCUUUCGGGGACAAUCCCUUCCGCCAUCUGUGCAGAAUAACACUGGCUAAUUCCCUCUCAAUGAGGAUAACAUCCAGACAGGGAAUUGCAUACCCUGCAACCCUCCACGUGGCCGGAGCUGAGAAAGUGCCUGACGGCCAUCCUCACCAGCAGACAUCAGAGCACAGAGGGAAGGAGUCAGUCCUGUGUCUGAAUCGCUCAUUCACUUAUUGACUGGAUGGCCUUGGACGAGUCACUUAACCUCCCUCAGCCUCAGUUUCCUCAUCAGCAAAACGGGGCUAAUUUUAUCUUCCAGCGUGCUAGUAAGGAUUAGACGAGACAAGAACGAUGAAGCUCGGGGCGGAAUGCUGGCACACAGUGAGCCUUCGGUGAGGGUCAGAGGUACAGCCCCUGCCCUCUGAGUGAAGAAAUCAAUUUUCCGCUAAGCUGUGAACACCAUACAUGCAAGGGACUCUCUACUGUGUUCAAGGUCAUGUUCCCAGUGCUUAGCACUCUGCUUGGCACAUAGACACCAUACAAUAAACAUCUGUUGGGCACCCGAGUAAACACGUCAAGCGGCCUGGGGAUGCUGCAGAUGUGGGUAGGGUGGUAAGGCAAGUCAGACACCUGCGUGGAUCCCAGGAAACCCAGCUAACAGAACUAACCAGUCUCUUCUUUGUUCGGUCUUUGUUUGGCCUCUGCCUUCCAAUUCAUGACUGCUAACCCAGAAACCCGAGAAAGUCACUUAAAGUGCCCCAAGAAUGCAUGCGACAGAUGUUCUGCAAAGUCGGGUUAGCCGGGCCAACCUAAGGCAUCACCGGUGGCCGGCCGCCCCUGCCCAAGGGAUUCUCUGUGCCCCACAUAGAGGGAACAUUAGAAACAAGGAGGGAGCCUGGGGCUGGGCCAGGUGGGAGCUGGUCGGAGCCAGAUGUCCUGCCACCAAUAAAUCUUAACACUCUGAGCCUCAGUUUCCUAAUCCGUGAAAAAAGGAGCUUAAACCCAUCUUGCAGCUGCAUGAGGCCUGUGAAGCGGCUAGCACGUGCGUGACACGCUGCAGCUGAUGCACACAAUCGUGGCUAUUGAAAAACCAGAAUCCCAGCCAGAUACUAGGAAACGAGCAAUCUCAGGCUGUUUCGGGAGACUCUCGUGUGUAAGGAUCGCGCGACGUGGAGCCUCCUCGCCCGCGUGAGCCCGGGCAGCUCUCCUUUUGCGCCUGCCGUCUUGCCCCAGGCGUUAGGAUUUCAGGGGGGGUGGGAAUCAAUUCCUACUCUAAGAGGGUCCUCCUGCUAAAAACAAAAACCAGGAGUUUCAGAACCACUGAAUAAAUGAUCGCGGAAGUC